UACGUAGGUGGCAAGCGUUGUCCGGAUUUACUGGGCGUAAAGGGCUUGUAGGCGGUUUGUUAAGUCUGGUGUGAAAUCUCCCGGCUCAACCGGGAGGGGUCAUCGGAUACUGGCAGACUUGAGACGGGUAGAGGAAAGCAGAAUUCCCGGUGUAGCGGUGAAAUGCGUAGAUAUCGGGAGGAAUACCAGUGGCGAAGGCGGCUUUCUGGGCCUGUUCUGACGCUGAGGAGCGAAAGCGUGGGGAGCAAACAGG
rnacentral:rRNA from 1 species